AGCAUGGUCUUAGCUUGCUAAGGCCGAUGGCGACCGGCGCACGGGUGAGUAACACGUAUCCAACCUGCCGUCUACUCUUGGACAGCCUUCUGAAAGGAAGAUUAAUACAAGAUGGCAUCAUGAGUUCACAUGUUCACAUGAUUAAAGGUAUUCCGGUAGACGAUGGGGAUGCGUUCCAUUAGAUAGUAGGCGGGGUAACGGCCCACCUAGUCUUCGAUGGAUAGGGGCUCUGAGAGGAAGGUCCCCCACAUUGGAACUGAGACACGGUCCAAACUCCUACGGGAGGCAGCAGUGAGGAAUAUUGGUCAAUGGGCGCAGGCCUGAACCAGCCAAGUAGCGUGAAGGAUGACUGCCCUAUGGGUUGUAAACUUCUUUUAUAAAGGAAUAAAGUCGGGUAUGGAUACCCGUUUGCAUGUACUUUAUGAAUAAGGAUCGGCUAACUCCGUGCCAGCAGCCGCGGUAAUACGGAGGAUCCGAGCGUUAUCCGGAUUUAUUGGGUUUAAAGGGAGCGUAGGCGGGUUGUUAAGUCAGUUGUGAAAGUUUGCGGCUCAACCGUAAAAUUGCAGUUGAUACUGGCGACCUUGAGUGCAACAGAGGUAGGCGGAAUUCGUGGUGUAGCGGUGAAAUGCUUAGAUAUCACGAAGAACUCCGAUUG
rnacentral:rRNA from 1 species